UAAAAGUUAAAGGUGUCACGGAGAGACUCACGGAGGCAGAGAUAUGAACUCAGUAGCAGCGUUUAUUGAACAGAUGAUUGAAACAGAACAGCAAACGGCAGUGAAGUGCAGCACAGAAGAGCCAAAGGCAGAAGCUGAGCUGAGAAGAGUCUGUACAAAGCCUCUAGUCAGCUGGAAUCUAUCCGACACAUUCCACAGAUUUGUCUCCUUCAGCAGGGAGUACAGCACCAUGGCCAGGCCAAUGAGCGACAGGACAAGACUAAGGAGGCCCUGUCCCCCAUCAUGCAGCAGGUUGCUGUAACACUUCUCCACUGGUGCGGACACAAGUUUUUUGGCCUGGGGAGAACCAGGAUACUCUCGCCCAUGGCAUCAAUACCUGCUCGUCCUGCUCUCCCCACCAUCUGUUUGUACUGACUUCUCUUUAAAAAGUCUGCAGCUACGUAUGGGGACCGCAGAAUCACCCUAAGAAAUGAGGACAGACCUGCGUGCAGGAAGGUUGAUCCCAGCAGCAAGAGUGGAGGUGCAGGUGAGGAGGCAGAGCACCCCUGAAGAAUAGGCUUCUUCCACUAGCUUCUUCUCAUCACUGGUCAGGCCGCUGUG